rnacentral:rRNA from 1 species
AUUGAACGCUGGCGGCAUGCCUUACACAUGCAAGUCGAACGGCAGCACGGGAGCAAUCCUGGUGGCGAGUGGCGAACGGGUGAGUAAUAUAUCGGAACGUGCCCGGUCGUGGGGAUAACGUAGCGAAAGCUACGCUAAUACCGCAUACGAUCUACGGAUGAAAGCGGGGGAUCGCAAGACCUCGCGCGAUUGGAGCGGCCGAUAUCAGAUUAGGUAGUUGGUGAGGUAAAGGCUCACCAAGAAACCGCGAUCUGUAGCUGGUCUGAGAGGACGACCAGCCACACUGGGACUGAGACACGGCCCAGACUCCUACGGGAGGCAGCAGUGGGAAUUUGGACAAUGGGCGCAGGCCUGAUCCAGCAAUGCCGCGUGCAGGAUGAAGG